rnacentral:SRP_RNA from 1 species
GCCAGGAGUAGUGGCGCAUGCCUGUAGUCCCAGCUACUCGGGAGGCUGAGGUGGGGGGAUCGCUUAAGCCCAGGAGUUUGGGCUAUAGUGAGCUAUGCUGAUACGGUGUCCACACUAAGUUCAGCAUCAAUAUGGUGACCUCCUGGGAGUGGGGGACCACCAGGUUGCCUAAGGAGGGGUGAACCUGCCCAGGUCGGAAACCGAGCAGGUCAAAAGUCCCGUGCUGAUCAGUAGUGGGAUCGCGCCUGUAAAUAGUCACUGCACUCCAGCCUGGGCAACACAGUGAGACCCCAUCUCA